AACGUAGGAGACAAACGUUAUCCGGAGUUACUGGGCGUAAAGGGCGUGUAGGUGGUUUCGUAAGUCUGGCGUGAAAUUUUUCGGCUUAACCGGGAAAGGUCGUCGGAUACUGCGGGACUGGAGGACGGUAGAGGCGUGUGGAAUUCCGGGUGUAGUGGUGAAAUGCGUAGAGAUCCGGAGGAACACCAGUGGCGAAGGCGACACGCUGGGCCGUACCUGACACUGAUGCGCAACAGCAUGGGGAGCAAACAGG
rnacentral:rRNA from 1 species